GAAGUAUGGUUUCCCUUCUACUUUAACAUGGAGGUGCUUUCUGUGACUUAUAAGAAGUAAGUGCUUCCAUGUUUUAGUAGAGGUGAAAUCCUGUUCU
rnacentral:pre_miRNA from 1 species